CGCGUAGGCGGCAUGACAAGUCACUUGUGAAAUCUCUGGGCUUAACUCAGAACGGCCAAGUGAAACUGUCGCGCUAGAGUGCGGAAGGGGCAAUCGGAAUUCUUGGUGUAGCGGUGAAAUGCGUAGAUAUCAAGAGGAACACCUGAGGUGAAGACGGGUUGCUGGGCCGACACUGACGCUGAUGCGCGAAAGCCAGGGGAGCAAACG
rnacentral:rRNA from 1 species